GAAUUUUGUAAGCACAAAGCAGAGCAAUGUCGCUUUUGAUACACAAUAAAUUAUUUUAAAAGAAUCGCCGUAUCUAAAAUGAUGGACAAUUUCGGCCCAUGUAAAAAAAAUAAUGUAUAAUACUAAAUACAUUUACUAAAGCCACAGUCAUUUUUCGGUUAUUAAUAUACAGCGGCGCAACCAGGAAAGUGGGUGAUGGGGUCAUUUGGGUAUCUGAACAUUCCCUUCCAUCUGUGUUCGAGUGAUACAAACGCAUUCAAUUUUUUUUUUAUAUGUAGACGUGUGAUCAGCCUUCUUUCGAAACAAUCCUUGUUG